CGCCGCCCUCGGCUUCUUUACAGUGCUGUCUUGUGGCAUAGGUUCAAGCAGCAUUGUACAGGGCUAUGAGGGCGCCG
rnacentral:pre_miRNA from 1 species